rnacentral:rRNA from 1 species
GAUGAACGCUAGCUACAGGCUUAACACAUGCAAGUCGCGGGGCAGCAUGGGGGUUGCUUGCAAUCCCCGAUGGCGACCGGCGCACGGGUGAGUAACGCGUAUCCAACCUGCCCUUCACCACGGGAUAACCCGGCGAAAGUCGGACUAAUACCGUAUGUUGUCCAUUGACGGCAUCCGAUUUGGACGAAAGGUUUGGCGGUGAAGGAUGGGGAUGCGUCCGAUUAGCUGGACGGCGGGGUGACGGCCCACCGUGGCGACGAUCGGUAGGGGUUCUGAGAGGAAGGUCCCCCACACUGGAACUGAGACACGGUCCAGACUCCUACGGGAGGCAGCAGUGAGGAAUAUUGGUCAAUGGGCGUAAGCCUGAACCAGCCAAGUAGCGUGCAGGAUGACGGCCCUAUGGGUUGUAAACUGCUUUUAUGCGGGGAUAAAGUGGCCCACGUGUGGGUUUUUCCAGGUACCGCAUGAAUAAGGACCGGCUAAUUCCGUG